UUUUCUCGGUCUUAUCUGUUGAAAGCCGAUCUGGUUUUAUUUCACUUUCUUUUACCAUUUUUUCUCCGCUGAAAAACCGAGGUUUGCUCUCGCCUCUUCUCUGUUACCAUCUCUUUCAAUUCGUCUCUUCUCUGUUCAUUUCGUUCAUAGAAAAUCAAUACUGAUGUGUUUAGGAAGAGAGUUGUUGAGGAGCCAUAGUUGAUUGGACACGGAACUGUGUUGAGAGAGAGUUCUAAGAAAAAUGUGAUGUUUUUACAGAAUCGAUGAUGAAGAUAAAGAUGAUGAGUCUGAGAUUUAUCGAAAUUGAAUCGAAUAAGGGAUAGUUGAUGGUCAUGGUGUCGAUCCAUGUGUUGAUUCAAACUCGACAAAAAGCUAAGUUGAAUUUAAGGUUUCUUUAACUAACACUGUUUAGUGUGAAAUUGAUUUGUAUAUUGAUCAAUUAGUGAUGGGUUUAUUUUUAAUUCAAGUUUGGAUGAUGUAUAGGGUUUAAUUUCAGUUUCUAUAAUGAAUCAAUUGGUAAUUAGGGUUCAUCCCAAAUUAUCGACGACUUCUUUCAUAGCACCAUUUAUCUUGGACUAAAAAAAUUCUGAAUUGCAGUGGGUGGUAUAUCAUAUUUGGACUUAACAGAAGCAUUACAAGUUGAUAUUUGACAUAUAGCUCUAAAAUUGAAAGCAUGAUAUACUGAAGAAAUCGAGGGAAUGUAUCAUAGUUUAUCUUAAUUCUCCUCCCUCCUUUUGGUGACACUUCUUCUCUUGUCCAACUUUUUUUUUCUUGAUACUUGUCUUUGUUUUUGGAUUUUUAAUCUCCUCAUUCUCUGUUUCGGAAUAACCAUCAAGUAAGCAUUCGAGAAUAAAUUCGUCAUGGCUCUGCGUCUCUGAGGACCUGGAUCUGCGUCUCGGAGGUGGUUGUGAUUGUGGAUACCAAGGUGGAGGAGAUCGUGCUGGACGUGGAGGCGGCGGCGGUGGACGUGGUGGUAGUGGAAGAGAUGGUGAUUGGAUGUGCCUAAUUCAAGUUGUGGAAAUUCGAACUUCGCUAGAAGAACUGAGUGUAAUAAAUGUGGUACCAAAAAUACUGGAGGAGGUGGUAACAGAGUGGGGGAUAUGGUGGGAGUGGUGGAUACCAAGGUGGAGAUCAUGGUGUUGGCCAUGGAGGUGGAGUAAGAGGGGGUUCUUAUGGAAGAGAAGAUAGUUAUGGACAGGCCCCUCCUGCAAAAGCAUCUUAUGGUGGAGCUGGUGGAAAUUAUCCUCCUACUAGUAGUUAUGGUGGUGGUUGGAAUAGUAAUUAUGGAACUGAUGCAGUUCCUCCACCCACUAGCUACACUGGUGGUCCGAAUGCAUAUCCUCCAUCAUACGGUGGUGGUGCUCCGAGUUACGGAGAUGAUAAACGAGGUGGUAGAGGAGGUUCUAUGGAGGCUCCAACGAUAGAGGCAGUGGUGGUCGGGGAGGUUUGGGGGUACCCCAGUUCUUCCUUGCUUUCCCAUGAAUUUAGUCAACUUAUUUGGUUCUGAAAAAAUCUAGAGUAUGGUAUAUCCAUCAAAAGAUGAUUAAUACAAGCACAUGAGAGGAAGGAUAACAAUAGUUGACUGGAAAAUAAAUUCCACCCCAGAAAACUAUGCCAAACAGGGGUAAUAUGACCUACCUCCUCCAACUUCCUCCCCUAACUCCAACUCCACCGGUGCCAAACGCAUUCUUAAAGAAGAAAAGGUCGGAAUUCAUUCCGGAUUACUAGUCCUUCCUCCUCCCUAUAAAAAUUGGAUAUUAUUGUAGUUCAUCUCUAUAUUUUUUGGAAUUUGUAUCUUUAUUUGUAUUUGGAUUUAUUUUCUUG